AUGCAGGGUACCCAAUGCGGACACUUCAUGGCUCAAUUUGCAAAAUACUGGAAUGGCAUUGAACUCAUAAAAGAUGAUGGUGAUUUCAAUCAAAGCAAAGUAGAUGCCGAGUGGAAACCAGAGUUCCUUUUUACAGCCAUAUUUGGUGAAACAAACGAAGUAAAGUGGCAGCAACUACCUGGAAGAAUCAAAGAAUUCAAACCAGAAACUUCAAAGUUCUUUUCCAGCAAAAAAGAGGCCAAAAAUAAUGCAAGAAUCUGUUUCUCACUAACUGUCACCUCCAAAAUUAUUUUAUCUCCCCUGUCGCAGCAAAACUAUAUUUAG
rnacentral:rRNA from 1 species